UGGGGAAUUUUGGACAAUGGGCGAAAGCCUGAUCCAGCAAUGCCGCGUGUGUGAAGAAGGCCUUCGGGUUGUAAAGCACUUUUGUCCGGAAAGAAAUCCUUGGCUCUAAUACAGUCGGGGGAUGACGGUACCGGAAGAAUAAGCACCGGCUAACUACGUGCCAGCAGCCGCGGUAAUACGUAGGGUGCAAGCGUUAAUCGGAAUUACUGGGCGUAAAGCGUGCGCAGGCGGUUUGCUAAGACCGAUGUGAAAUCCCCGGGCUCAACCUGGGAACUGCGUCGGUGACUGGCAGGCUAGAGUAUGGCAGAGGGGGGUAGAAUUCCACGUGUAGCAGUGAAAUGCGUAGAGAUGUGGAGGAAUACCGAUGGCGAAGGCAGCCCCCUGGGCCAAUACUGACGCUCAUGCACGAAAGCGUGGGGAGCAAACAGGAUUAGAUACCCUGGUAGUCCACGCCCUAAACGAUGUCAACUGUUGUUGGGGAUUCAUUCCUUAGUAACGUAGCUAACGCGUGAAGUUGACCGCCUGGGGAGUACGGUCGCAAGAUUAAAACUUAAAGGAAUUGACGGGGUCAUAGCUGUUUCCU
rnacentral:rRNA from 1 species